CCUUGGACACAGCUCUGAAUAGCAAGGGAAUAGCUUUCCUUUAGAGAAAUCUGGAAAAAGAACCACUGGAGAGCAAUUUAAAAAAUAACAGAAUCCAGGGAAAGCUUUAAUUUCCUUUUAUUUCUGAGCAUGAUUCUAGCCACAGGGGAAGGAAAAUGAGAUGAAAAAAGAGAGAUUACAGGUGUAUACUACUGCUGAAUACAGAUGAAAAAAGUGGUCACAAUCAUCCAUAAAAAGCAGUUAGGAAGGGAAGCAUCAGGAUGACAGUUCUGAUAAUCAUUUUUUCAAAGGAAGAGGGAUGGUGAAAGGACACAAAAGGAGGAAAGAAGGACAUUUGCUGGGGUCUUGGGAGUUAAAGCCAAGUAAACUUGAGACAACUCACUUCCAGUUGCUUCAGCAUAUGCCCAGUCUCACAAAAGAGGUUAUUGCUGUGGAGAGUACUGGAGACAGGAGGGAGUGCUAGAGUUGGGGUAAACCACAGCAGCUCAUUUCACUUGAUAACUGUCAGGCCUCAGGGAGAGAAGUUUAACUGACAUGAGUGAAUAAGAUAUGAUUAAGUUGCAUAUAGAUGCUUUGGCGAAAUUUUUUUGAGACAGCCAGUUCUUUGAUAUGAUAGCUGUUUUAUAAAAGUCCUUUACAGUGUAAGAUAAUAUACCAAACUUAGUUAAUUUUAGAAGUAAUCAUAAAAUUCAUUCCAUGAAAACCAAAAUUAUCAUUUUCAAUAAAUACUGCACUGAUUUUGAAAUAUAAAUAUGUAUUAAUAUCCAGCAAGUCUGUGGUCAUUCAAUGUUUUCUUUUUUGAUAAAUAUUUUGAUAUCAGAAGCUUAUUCGACAUGGUUUAUUUGAUGUGUUUUAUGGACCACCUUGCAUGAGUGGAUCAAGGAGCUCUAAUUCAAGGCCAAAUGAGGGGAUAGGAGAAAUGUAGGUGCUGCAGUAGCCCAUGUGAUCAUGGGAAAAAUGAGUAGUUUGAUUAGCUGUUAUUUCAUAAGUGUGUAUCCUAGCUGAUCAAUGUAGAACCCUUUCUUUGAUGAGAGGUGAAUCCCACAUUCAUCUGAACUGUCAUCCCAACUGCGUAUUUCCUCAGUGACAAGACAAGGGGAAUUUAUUUGUGCUGUGCUGGCAGCAAUGCCUCUGGUGUGUGGAGUUAAAAUACUCUGUACAUUCACCAUCAGCUUUGACAUUGAUUCUCUCAGGUUUGAUUUGCCCCUCUGUUUAAUGGUCCCUUUUCUCCUCAUCAGUCCACGUGUUCACGGUUAUAUCAAUGCUUUUCUAUUUUAAGUAUAGGCAUUUGAAACAUAAUCUCACUAACGAAAUGUAAACUGUGCAUUUUGGGAAUCCUAUAUUCCUAUUUUCCUCAUUGUGUUUCUGUCAUGUUGCUGUCCUAGGCAAUGAAAAGAAGAAGCCAAGAAGAACCCUCAAAACCUUAAGUAAUUAUUUUUAUAGCCAGGCCUGAGAAUUCAGCUCGACAGUAACACUGCAUGAAUGUUUGGUUGGCCCUGUCAUACUUACAUAUAAUUGAUGACAUAUCCCCUUUGCUUUGCAGGGCCUCCUGCAAAACAUCCUUCCUUGAAGCCUAGCACUGAAGUGGAAGAUCCUGCUGUGAAAGGAGCAGUACAAAGAAAGAAUGUACAGACAUUGAGAGCAGAACAAACCUUACCAGUGGCUUUAGAGGAAGAGCAAGAAAGGUGUGAAAGAAGUGAAAAGAAGCAAUCACAGGUCAAAGAAGGAAAUAAUACAAACAAAAGUGAAAAAAUACAACUAUCAGAAAAUGUAUGUCAUAGUACAUCUUCUGCUGCUGCUGACAGAUUAACCAAAGAAAGAAAGAUUGGGAAAACGUAUCCUCAGCAAUUUCCCAAGAAACUGAAGGAAGAGCAUGAUAGAUGCAUCUUAAGACAAGAAAGUGAAGAAAAAACAAACGUUAAUAUGCUGUACAAAAAAAUAGAGAAGAAUUAGAAAGGAAAGAGAAACAAUAUAAGAAAGAAGUUGAAGCAAAACAACUUGAACCAACUAUUGAAUCACUAGAGAUGAAACCGAAGACUACAAGAAAUACUCCAAAUCAGAUAAAUCAAUCUUUGGAUUUUCAUAAUCAGGAAGAAAUGAAAGAUCUGAUGGAUGAAAAUUGCAUUUUGAAGACAGAUAUUGCUAUACUCCGACAGGAAAUAUGCACAAUGAAAAAUGACAACCUGGAAAAAGAAAAUAAAUAUCUUAAGGACGCUAAAAUUGUUAAAAAAACAAAUGCUGCCCUUGAAAAGUAUAUAAAACUCAAUGAGGAAUUGAUAACAAAAACAGCAUUCCGGUAUCAACAAGAGCUUAAUGAUCUCAAAGCUGAGAAUACAAGGCUCAAUUCCGAACUGUUGAAGGAAGAAGAAAGCAACAAAAGACUGGAAGCUGAAAUUGAAUCAUCAGUCUAGACUGACUGCUGCUAUAAGUAAGCACAGUGAAAGUGUGAAAACAGAAAGAAACCUAAAACUUGCAUUAGAGUGAACACAAGAUGUUUCCGUACAAGUAAAAAUGAGUUCUGAUAUUUCCGAAGUAGAAGAUAAGAAUGAGUUUCUUACUGAACAACUUUCUAAAAAGCAAAUUAAAUUCAAUACCUUAAAAGAUAAGUUCCGUAAGAAAAGAGAUACUCUCAGAAAAAAGUCAUUGGCUUUAGAAACUCUCCAAACGACCUAAGCCAAACACAGCAGCAAAUAAAGGAAAUGAAAGAGAUGUAUGAAAAUGCAGAAGCUAAAGUGAAUAAUUCCACUGGAAAGUGGAGCUGUGUAGAAGAGAGGAUAUGUCAACUCCAACAUGAAAAUCCGUGCAUUGAACAGCAACUAGAUGAUGUUCAUCAGAAAGAGGAUCAUAAAGAGAUAGUAACUAAUAUCCAAAGAGGCUUUAUGGAAAGUGGAAAGAAAGACCACAUGCUAGUAGAGAAAAAUAAGAAGCUAAUGAAUGAAUGUGAUCAUUUAAAAGAAAGUCUCUUUCAAUAUGAGAGAGAGAAAGCAGAAAGAGUAGUAAGUAUCAAGGAAGAUAAAUAUUUUCAAACUUUUAGAAAGAAAAUUUAA